rnacentral:rRNA from 1 species
CCUACGGGCGGCAGCAGUGAGGAAUAUUGGUCAAUGGACGAGAGUCUGAACCAGCCAAGUAACGUGAAGGAUGACUGCCCUAUGGGUUGUAAACUUCUUUUAUAUGGGAAUAAAAUGUUCCACGUGUGGGAUUUUGUAUGUACCAUAUGAAUAAGGAUCGGCUAACUCCGUGCCAGCAGCCGCGGUAAUAUGGAGGAUCCGAGCGUUAUCCGGAUUUAUUGGGUUUAAAGGGAGCGUAGGUGGAUUGUUAAGUCAGUUGUGAAAGUUUGCGGCUCAACCGUAAAAUUGCAGUUGAAACUGGCAGUCGUGAGUACAGUAGAGGUGGGCGGAAUUCGUGGUGUAGCGGUGAAAUGCUUAGAUAUCACGAAGAACUCCGAUUGCGAAGGCAGCUCACUGGACUGCAACUGACACUGAGGCUCGAAAGUGUGGGUAUCAAACAGGAUUAGAUACCCGUGUAGUC